AACGCGAAGAACCUUACCUACUCUUGACAUCCAGAGAAUUUGGCAGAGAUGCCUUAGUGCCUUCGGGAGCUCUGAGACAGGUGCUGCAUGGCUGUCGUCAGCUCGUGUUGUGAAAUGUUGGGUUAAGUCCCGCAACGAGCGCAACCCUUAUCCUCUGUUGCCAGCACUUCAGGGUGGGAACUCAGGGGAGACUGCCGGUGAUAAACCGGAGGAAGGUGGGGAUGACGUCAAGUCAUCAUGGCCCUUACGAGUAGGGCUACACACGUGCUACAAUGGCGCAUACAAAGAGAAGCGACCUCGCGAGAGCAAGCGGACCUCAUAAAGUACGUCGUAGUCCGGAUUGGAGUCUGCAACUCGACUCCAUGAAGUCGGAAUCGCUAGUAAUCGUAGAUCAGAAUGCUACGGUGAAUACGUUCCCGGG
rnacentral:rRNA from 1 species